GUGACAUAGGCAGGUCCAUCGGCCCAGCAGGAGAAGAGCUGCCGGAUGCCGUGCCUGUGAGAAAUCCAGCGACUUAAGUUCACGACGAGAGAACAGGAUUUCUACGCGGGGAAGAAGCUCACCAGUGCAUCGUGAUGUUAUACGGUCCAUUGUUGGUAACAUUGAUGAGAAGACGGUCACCUUGGUUUGCAAAGAUGACCGGACCGGGGUACCUUCCGUUCACAGCGACAAGAGACUUCGAGUUGCAAAGUCGCCUCACGUUUGUCGACCGGAUCUGAGCAGCAGCAGCAGCAGCAAGACAGUGUCACUACUGCUGGAGCAACAAACAAAAGCAGGCAAGCAAAGAGGUAUUCCCUUUCGCUAAAGAACAAGCUCCCUUACAGUGAAGUUGUAGACACGAGUUGUGGAAGUAGUAGAGUCGGCGGCGCUUGAAACACCGGCUGCAACGAGCAAGCCAAUUGCUACGACGAGAAUGCGGGUGUGGAUCUGCAUUGCCUCCUCCCUGCUGCUGCUACCAGAGACGAGACAAACUAUGGAGACAAUGGGGACGAUCAAACUUUAUGCGCCCUCCCUCGUGCACGGCACUUCCGGCUAUGAAGUUCAAUUUAUGUGCAUACAGGGGAGUGACAGUCCUGGUCCCAGUAACUCCAGCGGAUUUUACAUCUAGUUCCUCCUAAGGGUGGUGGUUCUUCUGUCAACGUUGUGGAGGCUUUCGCUACCUGCUGUGGCACGUUCCGGAGCGUUAUGUCAAUUGCUAGAUCGGUGCGUAUACACUUCCGUGGCAGCAGCGUCCAUUGCGAAUCUGGAGCAGCGAGAGAGCACACUGGAAAGACAACAAAGGUUUAUUUUUUUCCCUUCGAAUUUUACCAGGCAGUGUCACUCACGGGGCCUUGACUCUUCGCGUUUGUUAGUUGAGUGGCGUGGUCCUGUCUUCUAUCGACCAUGAAGAACACGGAAGAACAAAAAAGAAAAGUAGAAAAAUACAAGCCAAUAAAAACCUGGCCCAUGCAGGAUUUGAACC